GACAGAGGUGCCGAGCGUUAGGCGGAAUCACUGGGCUUAAAGCGUGUGUAGGCGGGCGAUCAAGUACCUUGUGAAAUCCCACGGCUCAACCGUGGAACCGCUGGGUAUACUGGUUGUCUUGAGCCGGCUAGGGGCGAGCGGAACAGACGGUGGAGCGGUGAAAUGCGUAGAUGUCGUCUGGAACGCCGAAGGUGAAAACAGCUCGCUGGGGCCGCGCUGACGCUGAGACACGAAAGCCAGGGGAGCGAACGGG
rnacentral:rRNA from 1 species